UCAAGGCAGGGCAGAAUUCAAUUUUCUGGCCACCGAAUACAUUUAGCAUGGGAUAAUGGGAAUAGGACCCUGUCCUCCUCUUUUCAGUUGGUUAAUUUACGUGUGAGGAUCAGGGUAAUGAUUAAUAGGGAUAGUUGGGGGCAUUAAUAUUUAAUUGUCAGAGGUGAAAUUCUUGGAUUUAUGAAAGAUUAACUUCUGCGAAAGCAUCCUGCCAAGGAUGUUUUCAUUAAUCAAGAACGAAAGUUAGGGGAUCGAAGACGAUCAGAUACCGUCGUAGUCUUAACCAUAAACGAUGCCGACCAGCGAUUAGGAGACGUUGAAUACAAAACACCACUUUAUAUAAUUCAGUAUAUGGUCA
rnacentral:rRNA from 1 species